GUUUAACGGUAACAGGAUGUGCUUGCACAUCGCUGACGAGUGGCGGACGGGUGAGUAAUGCUUAGGGAUCUGCCUCUGUGUGGGGGAUAACUAUUGGAAACGAUAGCUAAUACCGCAUAAUGUUUACGGACCAAAGGGGGCGUUUGCUCCCGCGCAGAGAGGAACCUAAGUGAGAUUAGCUACGUUGGUAAGGUAAUGGCUUACCAAGGCGACGAUCUCUAGCUGUUCUGAGAGGAAGAUCAGCCACACUGGGACUGAGACACGGCCCAGACUCCUACGGGAGGCAGCAGUGGGGAAUAUUGCACAAUGGGGGGAACCCUGAUGCAGCCAUGCCGCGUGUGUGAAGAAGGCCUUCGGGUUGUAAAGCACUUUCAGUUGUGAGGAAAGGUUAGUAGUUAAUACCUGCUAGCUGUGACGUUAGCAACAGAAGAAGCACCGGCUAACUCCGUGCCAGCAGCCGCGGUAAUACGGAGGGUGCGAGCGUUAAUCGGAAUUACUGGGCGUAAAGCGCACGCAGGCGGUUUGUUAAGCUAGAUGUGAAAGCCC
rnacentral:rRNA from 1 species